rnacentral:rRNA from 1 species
UACGUAGGGAGCUAGCGUUGUUCGGAAUUACUGGGCGUAAAGCGCAUGCAGGCGGAUCGUUAAGUCGGGGGUGAAAUCCCGAGGCUCAACCUCGGAACUGCCUUCGAUACUGGCGAUCUUGAGUCCGGGAGAGGUGAGUGGAAUUGCGAGUGUAGAGGUGAAAUUCGUAGAUAUUCGCAAGAACACCAGUGGCGAAGGCGGCUCACUGGCCCGGUACUGACGCUGAGAUGCGAAAGCGUGGGGAGCAAACAGG